rnacentral:rRNA from 1 species
GAUGAACGCUGACGGAAUGCUUAACACAUGCAAGUCAACCUGAAUCUGGGUUUUUACCUUCGGUUUGGGUGGCGGACGGGUGAGUAACGCGUAAAGAACUUGCCUUCCAGCUAGGGAUAACAUUUGGCAACGAAUGCUAAUCCCUAAUAUUACGUUCAUCGGACAUCUUAUAAUUAUGAAACUUGUAAGCGCUGUCGAAAGGCUUUGCGUCACACUAGCUAGUUGGAGAGGUAACGGCUCACCAAGGCGAGGAUGGGUAGCCAGCCUGGGAGGGUGAUCGGGCACAAAGGGACAGGGGCACGGCCAUUACGCAAACGGGAGGCAAGAGUGGAGAAUAGUGGACGAUGGACCGAGAGUCUGAAGCAGCAAUUCUGUGUGCACGAUGAAGUUUUUCGGAAUGAAAAGUACUUUCAGUUGAGAAGAAACAAAUGACGGUACCAACAGAAGAAGCGACGGCUAACUACGUG